rnacentral:rRNA from 1 species
GCGGCCUAUCAGCUUGUUGGUGAGGUAAUGGCUCACCAAGGCGACGACGGGUAGCCGGCCUGAGAGGGCGACCGGCCACACUGGGACUGAGACACGGCCCAGACUCCUACGGGAGGCAGCAGUGGGGAAUAUUGCACAAUGGGCGAAAGCCUGAUGCAGCGACGCCGCGUGAGGGAUGACGGCCUUCGGGUUGUAAACCUCUUUCAGCAGGGAAGAAGCGAAAGUGACGGUACCUGCAGAAGAAGCACCGGCUAACUACGUGCCAGCAGCCGCGGUAAUACGUAGGGUGCGAGCGUUGUCCGGAAUUAUUGGGCGUAAAGAGCUUGUAGGCGGUUUGUCGCGUCCGCCGUGAAAUUUCGAGGCUCAACCUCGAACUUGCGGUGGGUACGGGCAGACUAGAGCGUGGUAGGGGAGACUGGAAUUCCUGGUGUAGCGGUGAAAUGCGCAGAUAUCAGGAGGAACACCGAUGGCGAAGGCAGGUCUCUGGGCCACUACUGACGCUGAGAAGCGAAAGCAUGGGGAGCGAACAGGAUUAGAUACCCUGGUAGUCCAUGCCGUAAACGUUGGGAACUAGGUGUGGGUCUCAUUCCACGAGAUCCGUGCCGCAGCUAACGCAUUAAGUUCCCCGCCUGGGGAGUACGG